GACGUAGGGCGCGAGCGUUGUCCGGAUUUAUUGGGCGUAAAGAGCUCGUAGGCGGUUUGUCGCGUCUGCCGUGAAAGUCCGGGGCUCAACUCCGGAUCUGCGGUGGGUACGGGCAGACUAGAGUGCAGUAGGGGAGACUGGAAUUCCUGGUGUAGCGGUGAAAUGCGCAGAUAUCAGGAGGAACACCGAUGGCGAAGGCAGGAUCGUCUGGGCUGUAACUGACGCUGAGGAGCGAAAGCAUGGGGAGCGAACAGG
rnacentral:rRNA from 1 species